GGGAGGCAGCAGUGGGGAAUGUUGCACAAUGGGCGAAAGCCUGAUGCAGCAACGCCGCGUGCGCGAUGAAGGCCUUCGGGUCGUAAAGCGCUUUUCGGGGAGAUGAGGAAGGACAGUAUCCCCGGAAUAAGUCUCGGCUAACUACGUGCCAGCAGCCGCGGUAAAACGUAGGAGGCAAGCGUUAUCCGAAUUUACUGGGCGUAAAGCGUGUGCAGGCGGUUCGGUAAGUUGGAUGUGAAAUCUCCUGGCUCAACUGGGAGAGGUCGUUCAAUACUGUCGGACUAGAGGGCGGUAGAGGGAGGUGGAAUUCCGGGUGUAGUGGUGAAAUGCGUAGAUAUCCCGAGGAACACCUGUGGCGAAAGCGGCCUCCUGGACCGUACCUGACGCUCAUACACGAAAGCUAGGGGAGCGAACGGGAUUAGAUACCCCGGU
rnacentral:rRNA from 1 species